UCUCGCAUCGAUGAAGAACGCAGCGAAAUGCGAUAAGUAAUGUGAAUGCAGAAAUUCAGUGAAUCAUCGAAUCUUUGAACGCACCUUGCGCUCCUUGGUAUUCCGAGGAGCAUGCCUGUNUGAGUGUCAUGUUAAUAUCAACCCCGUCGGUUUGUAAAUCAGACCGUUGGGUGUUGGACUUGGAGGUUCUUGCUGGCUGCAAAGUCGGCUCCUCUUGAAUGUAUUAGCUUGGGCCUGUUGUGCGUGCUCGCGGUGUAAUAAGUUUUAUUCAUCGUUUGGGUCGUACACUUAUUGGGCUUGCUUCUAACUGUCUUCGGACAAGCAUAACCUUUGACUCUGACCUCAAAUCAGGUAGGACUACCCGCUGAACUUAAGCAUAUCAAUAAGCGGAGGAAAAGAAACUAACAAGGAUUCCCCUAGUAACUGCGAGUGAAGCGGGAAAAGCUCAAAUUUAAAAUCUGGCGGUUUCACCGUCCGAGUUGUAAUCUGGAGAAGCGUUUUCCGUGC
rnacentral:rRNA from 1 species